rnacentral:tRNA from 1 species
AAGGUACUAGUAAAAUACCCAUUACACCAUCUUGUCAAGAUGUAAUUGUAGGUUAGACUCCUACGUACCUUA